ACAGACUUGACCACAGUGAGCAGCGUCUACCCAAUCAGUCUGAGGAAAACUGUGACCUUCACUAUGCCAGUGUCCACUUCAUAAAGAGUCAGACGGAUCCCAUCUACUCCAACGUCGGAUCAGCUGAACCCAGCAAACACAAGGAGGCGGAGGAGGUUGCCUACGCUUCUGUCAACUUUAACAGAUCUGCCCCGAGAACCAGAGGUCAGGACACUGGAGAGGAUCCAGCUGCAUUGUACAGCACAGUCAAAAAACCUCCUGCUGUUUAGACCAACGUCUGGAAAUCACCUUAGUCCCAAUGGAAAUAUCUCAACAGCUGCGGGAUGGAUUUGAAUAGAAGUUCAUACAACUGUUCAUGGUCCCCACAGGAUGAAUCCUACUUUGGUGACAGUCAGACUCCAGCAUCAUUGUUGAAGUGAAUGUUCAGUUUUAAGUGACUUGUCUUGACAGCUAAUGGAUAAAUUGCCCCGAGGAUGAAUCCAAACGACUUCGGUGACUCGACUUUUAUCUGAAAUAUAUCAGCAACUUGUAGAAGUUGUUAAAAACGCCACAUUUAGCCUGAAUGAAAAAUAUCAAACAUUUUAUAACUUGCAGCUUCAAACAUGAAAAUAUCUGCGGUGUGUGUCAG